GGGGGGGGCAAGCGUUGUUCGGAAUUACUGGGCGUAAAGGGCUCGUAGGUUGCCAACUAAGUCAGACGUGAAAUCCCUCGGCUUAACCGGGGAACUGCGUCUGAUACUGGAUGGCUUGAGUUCGGGAGAGGGAUGCGGAAUUCCAGGUGUAGCGGUGAAAUGCGUAGAUAUCUGGAGGAACACCGGUGGCGAAGGCGGCAUCCUGGACCGACACUGACACUGAGGAGCGAAAGCCAGGGGAGCAAACGGG
rnacentral:rRNA from 1 species